rnacentral:rRNA from 1 species
GAUGAACGCUGGCGGCGUGCCUAAUACAUGCAAGUCGAGCGAACAGACGAGGAGCUUGCUCCUCUGACGUUAGCGGCGGACGGGUGAGUAACACGUGGAUAACCUACCUAUAAGACUGGGAUAACUUCGGGAAACCGGAGCUAAUACCGGAUAAUAUAUUGAACCGCAUGGUUCAAUAGUGAAAGACGGUUUUGCUGUCACUUAUAGAUGGAUCCGCGCCGCAUUAGCUAGUUGGUAAGGUAACGGCUUACCAAGGCAACGAUGCGUAGCCGACCUGAGAGGGUGAUCGGCCACACUGGAACUGAGACACGGUCCAGACUCCUACAGGAGGCAGCAGUAGGGAAUCUUCCGCAAUGGGCGAAAGCUUGACGGAGCAACGCCGCGUGAGUGAUGAAGGUCUUCGGAUCGUAAAACUCUGUUAUUAGGGAAGAACAAAUGUGUAAGUAACUAUGCACGUCUUGACGGUACCUAAUCAGAAAGCCACGGCUAACUACGUG